rnacentral:rRNA from 1 species
GUGGGGAAUAUUGGACAAUGGGCGAAAGCCUGAUCCAGCCAUGCCGCGUGUGUGAAGAAGGUCUUCGGAUUGUAAAGCACUUUAAGUUGGGAGGAAGGGCAGUAAGUUAAUACCUUGCUGUUUUGACGUUACCGACAGAAUAAGCACCGGCUAACUUCGUGCCAGCAGCCGCAGUAAUACGAAGGGUGCAAGCGUUAAUCGGAAUUACUGGGCGUAAAGCGCGCGUAGGUGGUUUUGUAAGUUGGAGGUGAAAUCCCCGGGCUCAACCUGGGAACUGCCUCCAAAACUGCAUGACUAGAGUACGGUAGAGGGUAGUGGAAUUUCCUGUGUAGCGGUGAAAUGCGUAGAUAUAGGAAGGAACACCAGUGGCGAAGGCGACUACCUGGACUGAUACUGACACUGAGGUGCGAAAGCGUGGGGAGCAAACAGGAUUAGAAACCCGAGUAGUCC